rnacentral:rRNA from 1 species
UACGCAGGGGGCUAGCGUUGUUCGGAAUUACUGGGCGUAAAGCGCACGUAGGCGGACUUGUAAGUUGGGGGUGAAAUCCCGGGGCUCAACCCCGGAAUUGCCUUCAAGACUGCAAGUCUGGAGGUCAGGAGAGGUGAGCGGAAUUCCGAGUGUAGAGGUGAAAUUCGUAGAUAUUCGGAGGAACACCAGUGGCGAAGGCGGCUCGCUGGACUGAUACUGACGCUGAGGCACGAAAGUGUGGGGAGCAAACAGG